rnacentral:lncRNA from 1 species
AGUACUGCAGUGUGCGGCGCAUGGCUGCGAGGGCCUGCCGAGGGGCGGGCGCGAGUCGGAAAGACACCGACCAGGGAAUGGGCGACGAGGCUUGCCUUAAUUCGGAGGAAACCCAGGACUUGAGAGAGCCAUACAAUUUGAAAGACGAAGCACCGUGAAAUGCAGAAAGUUGUGGUUCGGAUAGCUCAGCUGAUUAAUUUCAUGUUGCCACAGUUUGUCAGUGAGUUUUGCCUUUUUAUUUUCUCAGUUCCUUUAAAGGCAGUGCAUUCGGUACUUACCUGAUAAUGUGAAAAACGCGAGCUUUAGAAAACCGAAUAGGUGUACAUGGUUUACUGUAAUGACUUGUUCUCCAAAGUAAGAGUACCAAACGCUGGAAGCAAAUAGUAUUUCAGUCAUUCGAAGAGUAGUGCCCAAGCAUUUAACAUUGAAGCUGUUAAAAGGGCAAAGUAGGCCCCAAUUUUAGAUCUAAGCCAUCAACUUUAUGGAACAGUCCUAAGGGCUUUUUGAAAAGGAGAUUUAAAAACACAUUUCAGAGGUGGUAGCUGAGUUGAAGAAGUGAGGAAAGACUUGGAUAGGGAGGAAAUAGUUUGACACUGAAGGAUGUUAGGAAGUAGGGAUUCCUUGUGCAACUUAAGAGUUUUGUAAAUAAGACGGCUUGGCCUUGUGUCAAGAUACAUCAAUUGGUUAUAGCUUAGUGCUUGGAGGCCCACAUUAUAGGAGUAGACUAGUUCUCCCUCCGCCCCGCCCCUGGAAAAUCUAUUUCAAGACCAUAAACCACAUUGCUAAUCCUUGGAAAUGCAGAAGGUGGUUAGGUUUAAAAUGUGGCUUUAAAAUGGUCCUAACAGAAACGUAUUGAUGUUACUAUUCAGAAUAUCUGCCCAGUAUACGAGGAAGAAAAAGGUUAAACCUAAAACACUAAAAAUUCAUAGUUCAUAUUCAGUUAUUAGCCUAUGAAGAUUUGGUACAGCCUUCAUCCUUCAUUUUAGACAAAUAACAAAUCUAUAUGGUUUAUAAGUGUAUUUUGUAAGGAGUUAUAUAUAUCUAUAUAUGUGUGUCUCCACCCAUCUGAACCUGACCUGCAAACCAAGAGGUUCUUGUUUAUUUCCGAUAGUUUUGGUAGUCUUGUUAAAGGCAUUUGAUUCAAAAUCCAAAUUUGCAUACAUUUUUCCAACUGGAUAGAGGAGGCAGGAAUAUAUUUGAAUAUUGUUCUCACUUAUUUUGUCCCUCUUCUUAUUCUUUAAAAAAAAAUUAAGCCUGUCAAUUUUAGCAGUGGGGGUUGCAUAUCAAUUUUAGUGAUACUAAUGUUAAUAAGUUCUGAUAACCCACUACCAUUGGACCACCCCCACUCUUAUUCCUAAAACGAAUCUGAAAAUAAUUAGCUUGCUUUAACGGGAAGAAUGAAUGUUAGGGAACCACCCUGCUGAACUCCAUUUUGCUGUCGGCUCUGAAUAAAGCUAUUUUAUCCAGAAAAGCUAUCUCUGGACAAAUAUUUUGAAUAGUUCAGUAACCGCAAUAGGUUUCUGCUAGAACCAUUUUGAAGCCACCCUUUAACCCUAACCACCUUAUGUAUUUCCAAGGAUUGGCGAUGUAGUUUAUGGUUUUGGGAUAGAUUUUUCUGGGGGAGGGGAGAACCUCCCUUCUAGCUCUCUGCAGAUUAUCAGAGCCGCCACUGCAGGGAUUUGCUCCCGUGGGCCUAUAUGUCUCCCCAGAUACCUUCCUAAAACUAUUAGCUUUUAUCUGUCUGUGUAUUCCCCUGUUGUGAAUGGGGAAGUAUUUGAGGGCUUGUUUUUUUAGGUUCUUGAUAAUAAAUACCUCAGGUUUCACAGAGUAAUCAAACUAAAAGAAAACUUCUUUUUUAUUUCAUUUUAUUUUUUUGACCGAAACUCCAUCUCCAAAAAAAAAAAAGGGUAUAUUGUUAUGUGAUAUUGGGACAUCCGAACAUUUUGUUGUCAUAGGAGUUUGUCCUUGCCAGCAUUAAUAAACUGCUUCCUUAGCUGUAAACAUCUUAUGACCAUGGGUUGUAUCUGGUAAGGAAUAGGCUUUGCUAGUCUAAAUUUAGAAUUGAUUUUGAAAUUGUGUUAUCCUAGCCCUUUUUUCUUUUUUUGAGACACAGUUUUGUUUUUGUCACCCAGGCAGGGGUGCAAUGGCGUGAUCUUGGCGCACUGCAACCUCUGCCUCGUGGGUUCAAGCGAUUCUCCUGUCUCAGCCUCCCAAGUAGCAGAGAUUACAGGCACCUGCCACAAUGCCCAGAUUAUUUUUGUAUUUUUAGUAGAGAAGGGAUUUCACAAUGUUGGCCAGACUAGUCUCGAACUUCUGACCUCAGGUGAUCCGCCCACCUCGGCCUCCCAAAGUGCUGGAAUUACAGGCGUGAGCCACCGUACGUGGCCAUGUUACCCUAACUCUUAUGUUCCUGUUUCCCUAACAUAAUACCUCCUUUACUCUUCUCCUCUACUACUCUAAUCUUAAGGGGAGAUGAAGGGUGAAGGUCAUUUUUUGUAACUUCUUCCUGCUGACAGUGGACGUUGAUCUUUGGGACAGGAUUCUCUUAUAAGAAUUUGCAGUUGGUGGGCUGGGCACGGUGGCUCAUGCCUGUAAUCCCAGCACUCUGGGAGGCUGAGGCAGGCGGAUCACGAAGUCAGGAGAUCGAGACCAUCCUGGCUAACACGGUGAAACCCCAUCUCUACUAAAAAUACAAAAAAUUAGCCAGGUGUGGUGGUGGGCACCUGUAGUCCCAGCUACUCGGGAGGCCGAGGCAGGAGAAUGGUGUGAACCUGGGAGGCGGAGCUUGCAGUGAGGCGAGAUCAUGCCACUGCACUCCAG